UGAACUUAAUUGACAAGAUCACAGGUAAAAAUAAUAUGGUUUGAAGUGUUUUCCAAUUUCUGCGCCUUUCCUUGUUAAAUGUCUAAAAAGAAAUAAGAAAAUCAUACUGAAUGUGGAGCUUCAUUGCAUCACAUUUAUAGCAAUGAUACUAUUAAAUUUCAUUUGCGUUCAUGGGUUCUCACUCGUCAAAAUUUAAUAGUAUAACCUCCAACCACUACAUAAAGACUGAUAUGUCCCUUCGGUUGGUUGUUUUAUUUUUCUCUGUUGUAGAAUAGAAAUGGUAUAUGUGCAUCUAUUUUCCCCGCGUCGUAUUUUCACUGCCAAUCACUAAAAGCGCAUGGAAGACAUGAAGCAAAAGGUUAAUUAUGAGGACGGCGAAAGACUAUAUAUCUUAAUUACCAGAAGUUGGGGAAUCAAAGCAAUCUACAUGAUGCAUCUCUUCUAUGUAGUUUUGCUUACCAUAAACUGGUUUCAUGCCUUUUAACCUAUGAAUCUAUCAUCAAUGCAAUAUAUAGGGCUUCUUAUGAAGUAUUUCCUUAUGUUUAAA